GCUGCUUGGCGCCUUCUGGGAAGGCUGGCGGAGAAGAUGGCCUCGCUGGGAAGGAGAACUGCGCGUAGCGGUUAAUAACGCGCAAGAUGGGCGCCGGGCUUCCCAGCCUGACUUCUGGGUCUUUCCGCCCGGCUGCCGGGGCGGGGAAUGGUCGUUCCCACUCGGUUAAACCGAGCUCAGCGGUAGCGGUGCCAGCCAGUGUCCUCAACCGCCAGUGAGAGAAAAGUCUCACGCCUUCACGCAGGCCUCUGCCCCCGCCUCGCAUGGUGGGACAGGACUUCCCACCGGGACCGCGAGGGCUGUUUCCCAUGCUUUUCGUGGCUAAACAGUGAGAGGGUGGCCUGGCAUCGCAGCCUGGUCCAUCGCUUGUGCUGAGCUGCAAAACAGUUGGGCUCUUCGGGGCCGAGAGCAAAAGUUGCAGUACCAAUGCGAUGCUUUGGCUGGCACGUCCAUUAGGCUGAGUAUCACUUCUGCAAACGAGUCGGCACAGGAAGGACUAUGGACUUUGUAGCAGGUCGAGGCUGUGAGACAGAUGAGUGAUUUCAGCCCACCUAUCCAUUUAUUUUUUUUGCUACUGCUGUUUG